UUUAAUUAUCAUAUAUAAAAGUGAAAAUACUACAAAUAUAAAUUAAUUUUAGUUGGGGCAACUGGGAGGGAUAAAAAUCUUUUAUUCAAUCAUUUAUAGUAAUAUUUAUAUUUAUGAUCCAAAUUAGUUAAUUUUGAAUUUAGAAU
rnacentral:rRNA from 1 species